rnacentral:rRNA from 1 species
UACGGAGGGUGCGAGCGUUGUCCGGAAUCACUGGGCGUAAAGGGCGCGUAGGCGGCGCGGGUAGUCAUCGGUGAAAGUUCAGGGCUCAACUCUGAAUCGGCCGGUGAUACUCCCGUGCUCGAGCACUGUAGAGGCAGGUGGAAUUCCGGGUGUAGCGGUGGAAUGCGUAGAGAUCCGGAAGAACACCGGUGGCGAAGGCGGCUUACUGGUCCGGUACUGACGCUGAGGUGCGAAAGCGUGGGGAGCAAACAGG